rnacentral:miRNA from 1 species
AGGUCUGCCUCCUCUUCCUUC